UGAACGCUAGCGGCAGGCUUAAUACAUGCAAGUCGAGGGGCAGCGCAGUGUAGCAAUACAUGGGCGGCGACCGGCAAACGGGUGCGGAACACGUACACAACCUUCCUAUAAGUGGGGGAUAGCCCAGAGAAAUUUGGAUUAAUACCCCGUAAGAUAACGAUGUGGCAUCACAAUGUUAUUAAAGCUACGGCGCUUAUUGAUGGGUGUGCGGCUGAUUAGAUAGUUGGCGGGGUAAAGGCCCACCAAGUCUACGAUCAGUAGCUGAUGUGAGAGCAUGAUCAGCCACACGGGCACUGAGACACGGGCCCGACUCCUACGGGAGGCAGCAGUAAGGAAUAUUGGUCAAUGGACGCAAGUCUGAACCAGCCAUGCCGCGUGAAGGAUUAAGGUCCUCUGGAUUGUAAACUUCUUUUAUAUGGGACGAAAAAAGGACAUUCUUGUCCGUCUGACGGUACCAUAUGAAUAAGCACCGGCUAACUCC
rnacentral:rRNA from 1 species